UAAGGAAUAUUGGUCAAUGGUGGGAACACUGAACCAGCCAUUCCGCGUGAAGGAUGAAUGCCCUCUGGGUUGUAAACUUCUUUAGUCUGGGACGAAAAAGCUUCAUUUAUGAAGAACUGACGGUACCAGAAGAAUAAGCACCGGCUAACUCCGUGCCAGCAGCCGCGGUAAUACGGAGGGUGCAAGCGUUAUCCGGAAUCACUGGGUUUAAAGGGUGCGUAGGUGGCGUUAUAAGUCAGGAGUGAAAUUC
rnacentral:rRNA from 1 species